rnacentral:rRNA from 1 species
UACGAAGGGGGCUAGCGUUGCUCGGAAUUACUGGGCGUAAAGGGCGCGUAGGCGGAUAGUUUAGUCAGAGGUGAAAGCCCAGGGCUCAACCCUGGAAUUGCCUUUGAUACUGGCUAUCUUGAGUUCGGGAGAGGUGAGUGGAACUCCGAGUGUAGAGGUGAAAUUCGUAGAUAUUCGGAAGAACACCAGUGGCGAGGGCGACUCACUGGCCCGAUACUGACGCUGAGGCGCGAAAGCGUGGGGAGCAAACAGG